AUGGGAGGAAGGACAGGAGGAUCAGGACUGGACGGAACCAGCGAAAGUGGGGCAGAGGGACCAGCAGGUCCUGGAGGAGGUGGGAGAGGGAGGCUGGGAGGGAACACAGGAGAUACAGAAGAUUCAGAGCUGGGCGGAACCAGCGGACACACAGAAGAUUCAGAGCUGGGCGGAACCAGCGGACACACAGAAGAUUCAGGGCUGGGCGGAACCAGCGGACACACAGAAGAUUCAGGGCUGGGCGGAACCAGCGGAGAAACAGAAAACUCAGGGCUGGGCGGAACCAGCGGAGAAACAGAAGACUCAGGGCUGGGCGGAACCAGCGGACACACAGAAGAUUCAGAGCUGGGCGGAACCAGCGGACACACAGAAGAUUCAGGGCUGGGCGGAACCAGCGGACACACAGAAGAUUCAGGGCUGGGCGGAACCAGCGGAGAAACAGAAAACUCAGGGCUGGGCGGAACCAGCGGAGAAACAGAAGACUCAGGGCUGGGCGGAACCAGCGGAGAAACAGAAGACUCAGGGCUGGGCGGAACCAGCGGAGAAACAGAAGACUCAGGGCUGGGCGGAACCAGCGGAGAAACAGAAGACUCAGGGCUGGGCGGAACCAACGGAGAAACAGAAAACUCAGGGCUGGGCGGAACCAGCGGAGAAACAGAAGACUCAGGGCUGGGCGGAACCAGCGGAGAAACAGAAGACUCAGGGCUGGGCAGAACCAGCGGAAAUGGAGCAGAGGAAAUGACUGGAGGAGGUAGGAGUGGGAGACUGAGAGGGUAUACAGGGGAGUCAGGGCUGGACGGAACCAGCGGGGAAACAGGAAAAUUAGGGGUUACCUCCAUAGACCAGUCCAUCAGAUCCAGAACUUGCUCCAUACGAUCUUCAGAGACUGCAAACAGCUCACCCUCAGUCGCAGGAGUGUGGGCAGGGCUUUCCUCCACGCCCUCGAUCUCCACGAGGACUCCCACGAUGCUCACACACCUGGUCAGUCGCGCUCUCGAGAUCCUGUUCCCUGUCAGUGGAUGGCUCGGGCUCUGCGGCUGCGGUGGGCUCUGGCUCCGUGCGGCGUGA
rnacentral:lncRNA from 1 species